AGUCGCACAGCUCAGUUGGUUAGAUCGUGGUGCUGAUGACGCCAAGGUUGCAGGUUCGAUUCCCCUAUGGGACUG
rnacentral:tRNA from 1 species